CGAAAUCAUCACAGACAGAGAACAUUGUGAAGGCUGUGUGCUGAUCUGCUGUCCCCUGAAAGGUAGAGCACAGACCUCCAAUGGGUUGACAGAAGAACCGUGGAUCCUGACCUGCUUUAACACCGAAAAAAGUCCAUGCACGAGCGAGAUAACGAAGCUAUUAAUGAAGUGAAACCCUGUGCUGAGGCAGAAACCCCAUAUGUGGAUAUGAUUCAUGCAUUUGAAAGGUCUAGAGAGUGCAGUUUCAGCAGGAUAAGCAUAGUUUCCGCAUUCAGACUAAAGGGAGGAAUGUCGCUUCCCAAAAUGUAGGAAAGAAAAUGUUUUUGUUGAGUGAUUUUGCAGCCCACUGAACACAUGCUCCAGAGCUCCUGCACAGAGGCAAAAAUACACCCCAGCAUUGUCUUCAUGAACGCACCCCUCCCUCACUCCACACCCUGCACUUCUGACUUCGCUACAGAGCUGGAGAUUUUACACACUGUUCAGCAAAGAUGGAUCUCAGUGUGUGUGGUCUAACCACGGGCUGGCGCAGCCAAUUAGC
rnacentral:lncRNA from 1 species